AUAUGAUAAUUUUUAAACAUUUUGUUGGAAGUUAAAAUGCCAAAGAAUCAGUUAUUAUUAAUAAAAAGUAAUGAUUACUAUUAUACGUAUAACUGUCAAUUUUCUUGGCCCCUGGCCCUUCUACUCCACCUUCUCUGCCAGUCUCCAGCUUUUAAGUCCCACUGUCCUUUUCCUCUGCUUCUAUUUCUCUCCUAUACAGUCCUACUGGAAAAAAAACUUCAUAAACAAACUGAUUAGCUCCAUUAUAAAUUUGUGAUCUCCAAACUCAGCUGGAUUCUCAAUGCUUGUCAGCAUUAAUCUUUAAUUAAUUCCUUUUCCAUUCCAAAUAGCAGCUGUUAAAACAUUUACCAUCCUCUAAUCCCAUCCCUCAUCCUCGAUGAAUAACCAAGAUUCAAAAUUCACCAAGACAUUAAUUUGAUCAACUGUCAUCUCCUCAACAUCUAAUUUCCAGUAUCAUUUUUCUUUCAUAGUGCUCUGAAAUUUAGAUCUUUUAAUCAUUUCCAAACUUAACUCCUCUAUUGAUUUAAUAGAAAUAUUUUAGCUAAUUUUUUCUACUCCUAGAUAUAUGUGCUGACACACGUCAGCUGGUAUGUAAAUUGAAAAAAAAAUGUAAAAUCUUCAUUGAAACCCAUUCUCCAAUCAAAUCAGGAUGGAUGCUUUCAGCUGAAACUAAAAAAAGAAAAAGUCAACUCAAACUAGCUUAUACAAUUUUUAAACAUCUAAUUCAUUAAAGGGGAAGUCUAUAAGUAGGACAAGAUUUAGAAAUGGUUGAUCUUGCAUUUUAUUCACAUCACCCAAGAUGUACAUUCUUUCUGUUUCUCCACUAUCAUGCACAGCUUCAUCUUCAUUCUGGUUCCCUUGUGAUUAUAAGUCAUUAAGUUGGGGCUAAUUGGUUCCUAAUUUAUACAUGAUGGAAGAAAAACCAACUUCUUAUGAGGCUGUCUGAAGAAGAAAACCUUCGCAGAAGCCUCAGUAAACUUUUCCUCAUAUCUCAUUACAUCACAUGUCCCGUUCUAAACCAGUUAUUAGCAAGAGGGAUAAAAAUACUUUCACAUCAUUUGAACCCACCACUACAGCUGAGCACAAUUUUCAAACCGCAUUAGGAAUGGUAGAGAUGCCAUCGAGGAGCCAACCACCAUAUCCAUUAUGCCAUCCAAGCUGCUCUCUCGCACACUUGGGCAUUCCACCUGUAGCUGGUCCCUUGUGGUUUGGUAAAUAAGAUUUCCUCCCGUGUCACCAGGUUUCCGCUCUUCUUCACUUGAGAUACACCUUUCACAAAGCCCUGUAUUCUCUUCAGUCAUCUUUACACCUGAAUAUUCCUGUACUCCAUGCACAAGUACAGCAAGUAGGGCCAUCUCCUCAAUCCUGGGUUGUGCUUUUCCAACUGAAAAUCUCAUUCCCACAGCCAGUAUGGGUCUCUCUGGGAACCCAACCCUGUCACAAGUCCGUACAGCAGACAGGCUUCUAUAAACAUACAUCCAGGUCCCCGCCAUCCAUCUUCAAAGCUCUGCCAUGUCUACUUUGAUAGCCUCAAUCUCAUGCUGGUAGCAAGAUAGUUUACAGCUACUUCAAUGUCACAUAUGCAAGCAUAUUCAGUAGCGCUUCUUGACGGCAAUGAAACCUUUCCCAGAAACCCCCAACAGCUAUCCGCUCACAGCUCACUGGCCAGAGCGGGUUCCGAGCUGAUAAAGGCCAUUGAAUUACGAAGAUUGGUUAAGGCUGAUGGUUCUCAGCCAUGAAUGUACAUUAGAAUGACCUGGAGAGCUUGUUAAAACACAGC
rnacentral:lncRNA from 10 species